UACGUAGGGACCAAGCGUUGUUCGGAUUUACUGGGCGUAAAGGGCGCGUAGGCGGCCUAGCAAGUCACUUGUGAAAUCUCCGGGCUUAACUCGGAACUGCCAAGUGAAACUGCUGGGCUAGAGUGCAGAAGGGGCAAUCGGAAUUCUUGGUGUAGCAGUGAAAUGCGUAGAUAUCGUGAGGAAGGCCAGCGGCGAAGGCGGAUCACUGGACAGUUCCUGACGCUCAGGCACGAAGGCCAGGGGAGCAAACGGG
rnacentral:rRNA from 1 species